CCAAACUAUUGUGGUAGUUUAUCUACCUCGAUAUACACCUUGUGUGAAAUUUUGUUGGUAAAUAGUUGAAAGACGUUUGGGAGAGAGGCACGAGUUUGUCUCCCAAUCUCUCCCGGGCGUUCUUUAACUUUUUAUAAACGGCAAAAAUUUUGGUAAUUUUGUUUUGUAUUAAAUAAAAAAUAUAUA
rnacentral:misc_RNA from 1 species